GAUGAACGCUGACAGAAUGCUUAACACAUGCAAGUCUUUGGCGAAGCUGUGCUUGCACAGCCUAGCCAAGGCGGACGGGUGAGUAACGCGUAAGGAACUUGCCCUGCAGUCAGGGAUAACAGACGGAAACGACUGAUAAGACCUGGUAAAGUCAGGCGGACUCAUGUCCAGCCUGAUGAAAAGAGAUGCUGCAGGAGAGCCUUGCGUCCUAUUAGCUUGUUGGUGGGGUAACGGCCCACCAAGGCGAUGAUAGGUAGCCGGCCUGAGAGGGUGGACGGCCAAAAGGGGGCCUGGGUUCCGGCCUUUCCCCCACCGGGGGCAGGCGGUGGGAAUAUUUGACCAAGGGGGCAACCCUGAUCCAGCAAUUCUGUGUGCACGAUGAAGGUUUUCGGAUUGUAAAGUGCUUUCAGCAGGGAAGAAAAAAAUGACGGUACCUGCAGAAGAAGCGACGGCUAAAUACGUG
rnacentral:rRNA from 1 species